rnacentral:rRNA from 1 species
AUUGAACGCUGGCGGCAGGCCUAACACAUGCAAGUCGAGCGAGAGGCGGACGGGGGAGUAAUGUCUGGGAAACUGCCUGAUGGAGGGGGAAAAAUACGGGAAACGGUAGCUAAGACCGCAUACCAUCGGAUGUGCCCACAUGGGAUUAGCUAGUAGGGGGGGUAACGGCUCACCUGGGCGACGAGCCCUAGCUGGUCUGAGAGGAUGACCAGCCACCGUGGAACUGAGCUACGGUCCAGACUCCGACGGGAGGCAGCAGUGGGGAGUAUUGCACAAUGGGCGCAAGCCUGAUGCAGCCAUGCCGCGUGUAUGAAGAAGGCCUUCGGGUUGUAAAGUACUUUCAGCGGGGAGGCGUUACCCGCAGAAGAAGCACCGGCUAACGCCGUGCCAGCAGCCGCGGUAAUUC